UGGGGAAUAUUGCACAAUGGGCGCAAGCCUGAUGCAGCCAUGCCGCGUGUAUGAAGAAGGCCUUCGGGUUGUAAAGUACUUUCAGCGAGGAGAAAGGCGGUAAGGUUAAUAACCUUAUCGAUUGACGUUACUCGCAGAAGAAGCACCGGCUAACUCCGUGCCAGCAGCCGCGGUAAUACGGAGGGUGCAAGCGUUAAUCGGAAUUACUGGGCGUAAAGCGCACGCAGGCGGUCUGUCAAGUCGGAUGUGAAAUCCCCGGGCUCAACCUGGGAACUGCAUUCGAAACUGGCAGGCUAGAGUCUUGUAGAGGGGGGUAGAAUUCCAGGUGUAGCGGUGAAAUGCGUAGAGAUCUGGAGGAAUACCGGUGGCGAAGGCGGCCCCCUGGACAAAGACUGACGCUCAGGUGCGAAAGCGUGGGGAGCAAACA
rnacentral:rRNA from 1 species